UUUUUUUUUUUUUUUUGGCAAACCCACAGUAUGCAUAAGUUCCCUGGCCAGGGAUCAAACCUGCACCAUAGCAGUGACAACACUGGAUACUUAACUGCUAGGCCACCAGGAAACUCCCUAUUUUUGGGUGUUUAAGGAACUUCCAUACUGUUUUCCAUAGGAGCUGCACCAAUUUACAUUCUCACCAGUAGUGUAGGAGGAUUCCCUUUUCUCCACACCCUCUCUAGCAUUUACUAUUUGUAGACUUUUAAUGACGGCAAUUCUGACCAGUGUGAGGUGAUACCUCAUUGUAGUUUUGAUUUGCAUUUCCCUGAUAAUUAUCAAUGUUGAGAAUCUCUUCAUGAGCCUACUGAGCUAUUUGUCAUCUUCAGAAAUAUGUCUAUUUAGUCUUCUGCCCAUUUUUUUGUUUCUUGGUAUUGAGUUGUAUGAGAUGUUUGUAUAUUUUAGAAAUUAAGCCUUUGUCAGUCACAUCAUUUGCCAAUAUUUUUUCCCAGUCCAUAGGUUGUCUUUUCAUUUUGUUAAGAUUGUAAAUUUGAUUGUGCCCCAUUUUGUUUAUUUUUACUUUUAUUUCUAUUGCCUUGGGAGACUGACCUAAGAAACUCUGCUAUGAUUUUUGUCAGAGAAUGUUUUGCCUAGUUCACCUCUAGGAGUUUUAUGGUGUCAUGUCUUAUAUUUAAGUGUUUAAGCCAUUUUGAGUUUAUUUUUGUAUAUUGUAUGAGGGAGUGUUUUAAGUUCAUUUAUUUACAUGUGGCUGCUCAGCUUGUCCAAGACUACUUGCUGAAGAGACUGUCUUUACUUCAUUAUAUAGUCUUGUCUCCUUUUGUUGAAGAUUAAUUGACUAUGGGUGUGUGGGUUUAUUUCUGGACCCUCUAUUCCCUUCCAUUGAUCCCUAUGCCUGUCUUUGUGACAAUACUGUGCUGUUUUGAUUACUGCAGCUUUGUAGUAUUGUCUGAAGUCUGGGACAGUUAUGCCUCCAGCUUUUCUCAGGAUUGCUUUGGCACUUGUGGGUCUUUUAUGAUUCCAUGUAAAUUUUAUGAUAAUUUAUUCUAGUUUUGUGAACAAUGUCAUGGGUAAUUUGAUAGGGAUCCUAUUAAAUUAGUUGAUUGCUUUGGGUAGUAUGGCCAUUUUAACAAUGUUAAUUCUUCCAAUCCAAGAGCAUGGGGUAUCUUUCCAUUUCUUUGGAUCAUCUUAAAUUUACUUUAUCAACAUUUUAUAGUUCUCAACAUACCGGUCUUUCACCUCCUUAGUCAUGUUUAUUCUUAAGUUUUCUGUGUUUGGGCUGUGGGAUGGAAAUCCUGUAAAAUUGGAUUGUUAUGAUCAUUAUACAACUACAGAUGUGAUAAAUUCAUUUGAGUAAUAAAAAAAAUACCAAAAAAAUAAAAGCUAUUGUUUUUAUUUUUAAAACACAACCUGUAUUUUUUAGCAUUUCCCCAGUGGUGCCCUUGUACAACAAAGGUUGAGAACCAUUACAGUUAUCACUCAACAAAUAGUUAUAAAACUGUGCUCAUCCAUACUAGGAAAUAAAAAAGAUUUCUAGAUUAUCUAGAAUAGGUUUUUACAGGUCAUUCCUGCCUCUGAGAAAUCUAGACACAUGACUAUAUGGAGAGUAACUUAUUUUUUUAAGUUGCUUGGUUUUCCCCCAAAAAAUAAAGAAGAAAUCAAAAUGAGUACAAAUAGCAGAAGGUUGCUUAAACCUAAACAUCCAUUGUCAGAGGAUUGAUUAAAUAAUAAUGAUGUGCCUCAAAAUUGGAAUUCUAUAUAGCCACUGAUAGGGAAACUCUCUAGCUGCAGACAUACACCAAUACCCAAGACAGAGUAAAUGAAAAAACUAAGAUACAAAGCAAAAUUUGGUGGCUGUUUUGGGUCGUGUUCCUUAUCCCUGGUACCAUUGAAGGUGACUGUAUUUGCAGAAGAUGAGGCCAGACUAGAUUAGGGUGGGCUCAAGUCCAAUGACUGGUGUCCCUUUAAGAAGAGAUAAACUUGCAUACAGACCCAGAAGGUCACAUGAAGAUGGAAACAAAGAUUGGAGUGAUGGAGCCCCAGCAGCUAGGAUAGAGGAAGGGAACAGAUAGAUGUUCCCUCAGAACCUCCAGAAAAAGCAUAUCCUACCAACAACUGGAUUUUGGACCUCAAGCCUCCCUAUUGUGAGAAAGUAAGGUUCUAUUGUUUCAAGCCACCCAAUUUGUGGUGAUUUGUUAUGGCAGCCCUAGAAAACUAAUACAGUAGCUUAUCAUUUCUGGGAAUCUAUCUAUCUAUCUAUCUAUCUAUCUAUCUAUCUAAUCAUUUCUGGGAAUCUAUCUAUCUCUCUCUCUCUCUCUCUCUCUCUCUCUCUCUCUAUCAUCUAUCUAUCCAUCUAUCAAUACUAAAACUGUUUCCGAAAGGAUACCCAAGAAACUGAGGCCAAAAUGACUUCUGGGAAAGACAUGAGGAUGGCUGGGAGCAAGGGAAGAAAGAGAGAUUUACUUUUUAGUGCAUGCUCUUUUAUGUUUUUUGACUUUUGUACUAUAUUCAGAUGCUAUUUUAUUUCAUUUUCUUUUUUAGGGCUGCACCCAUGGCAUAAGUAAGUUCCCAGGCUAAGGGUAAAAUAGGACCUAUGCUAUAGCCACAGCAAUGCAGGAUCUGAGCUGUGUCUGAGACCUAUACCACAGCUCAUAGCAAUGCUGGAUCCUUAACCCACUGAGUGAGGCCAGGGAUCAAACCCAUGUCUUCAUGGAUACUAGUCAGGUUUGGUUACUACUGCACUGCCAUGGGAACUCCAAAUACUAUUUAUUUUUAAAAAAUCAAUGAUUUUACAAUAAUUGUGAUUUUUUUUCCCCCAGCUUGGGUCAGCUGCAGAAAUAACCCAAGAAAGCUGCUUUAACCUCUCAGGGCCUCAGACUUCACAACCAGAAAAUGGGGAUAAUAAUACCAAUUAUAGCCAACCCUUAAAAAAAUGCACCAACCCCUCACACAGUUGAAAAUCCACAUAUAACUUUACAGUUGGCCCUUUGUAUCUGUGGUUCUGCCUCUGGGGAUUCAACCAGUGUUGGAUGGUGUAGCACUGUGGUACAUCUUUAUUAAAAGAAAAUCUACACAUAAUUGGAUGCACACAGAUCCAACCUCUGUUAUUCAAGGGUCAACUGUACCUUACACACAGUGCAUGAUGUGCCUGGAAGGGUGCCUGGCAGAGAAAAGGGCUCAAGGAGGGAUCAUAUUGGCUAUGGUUUUUUGUUUUUGUUUUUUUUUUUUUUUUUUUGGUCUUUUCUAGAGCUGCACACAAGGUAUAUGGAGGUUUCCAGGUUAGGGGUCUAAUCGGAGCUGUAGCUGCUGGCCUAAGCCACAGCCACAGCAAUGUGGGAACCAAAACGCGUCUGUAACCUGUACCACAGCUCAUGGCAAAGCCGGAUCCUUAACCCACUGAGCGAGGCCAGGGAUCAAACCUGCAACCUCAUGGUUCCUAGUUGGAUUCGUUAACCACUGAGCCACUACAAGAACUCCUGGCUAUGGUUUUUAUGGAUAUUAUGUGAUUAAGGUGCCUGAAUAAUAGUUAAAAUCCAAACAAGGGAUCGUGGGUGGAACACUGGAAGGGCCACACUAAACUGUGGUGGCAACUAAUAAAGCUGGCACCUAAUCAAGGAUAGCAUCUGCUCCACGAAGGAGAUCUUCCUCAGCAGCCUUCCUCAACAGCAGCAGUGCCACCUUCAUAGCUGGAUAAUUCUAGGUUGUGGGUCUGUGCUGCACACAGUAGGUUUUAGCAUUGCUGGUCUUUGCCCACAAGGUGCCAGGAGUACGUCUCCCUCAGUUGUGUUCAUCAAAGAAGACUCCUGACAAUGGCUUGCAUCCUCUGGUGCACAAAACUGGCUUAGCUGAGAGCCACUAGUCCACAGAUUGGCAGUUCCCAACAUGUGCCACCCAGACCAGCAAUAAAUAUUACUGGGAACUUCUCAGAAAUGCAGAAUCUGGGCCCCAUCUCAGACCCACCGUAGCUGAACCUGCAUUUUAACAAGAUCUCCCUGUCACAUUAAAAUGUGAUCAGCAUUCAUCAACACCAGUGGCUCUCCCCUUCUCUUAUAAACAUAGGAAACCUUGCCCCUUUGAGUAAAAACACAUAUUACUGGCUCCUACCCAAACUGAGAAAGGGCUGGGAGUAGAUAUUUUAAAGUGAAUCUUAGGAUCAAGAAGUUUGGGGAAACUCUACCGUGUUUAUAUAGAGAAACAAAAUUUAGCAAUUCCUUUCUAGAAUUGCAUGGGCAGAGAGUGUCUUGGAUCCCAAACUUGUUCUCUGGAUAUUUAUCAAGUCCUCACUGAGCACUGGCCCAGGGACAAGUGGCUAAAAGAGACCCAUCUCCUGAGUGGCACCGAGCUGACAGCCCAAAGCGCACUGGAUGGUGCAGAAGUAGAGUCCAGCUGACAUUGUUAGAGAACUUCUACAUUUAACUGUGUUGGAAUCCUUUGACUUCCUGGUCCCAUAAGCAAAUAGAGUUUGGUUUUGGAAUUCCUGUUGUGGUUCAACGGUGAUGAACCUGACUAGUAUCCACAUGGAAGCGGGUUCGAUCCCUGGCCUCACUCCGUGGGUUAAGAAUCCAGCAUUGCUGUGACCUGUGGUGCAGGUCACAGACACAGCUCAGAUGCUGGGCUGCUCUAACUGUGGUAUAGCCUGGCAGCAGCAGCUCCAAUUCGACCCCUAGCAAACUCCAUACCAUAUGCCACAGAUGCGGGAAAAAAAAAAAAAAAAAAAAAAAAAGAAAGAAAGGAAAAAAAGUUUGAUUUUGCUUGAGGCAAUUUAAGUUUUAUUUCUAAUCACUUGUCUCUGAGAUAGUCUCAAUGAACACACUAUCCUCUAAGGUCACAGGACUGAUUUUCCUGCCCAUGACCAUAUGUGAUGGAAUAACUUUCUAAGUCUAAUAUGGAUUCCCACAAAGUUCUGUCUAUAGGGAGAUAAUACAGAGCUCAGAAGCCAUAAGAAUGUGAACAUUUUUGUUGCUAUAAGAGCAUUAUAAAUCAAUUGUAUUCUGGCUUUAUACAUCCAUCUCUUGUGAGUUUGGUUCCUGUAAGUCAGUGUCCAGGUUUUAACACAUCCAAGUAUAAGCAGAGCAAAAGGAAUGUUCCAACCAGCCCCUGGAAUGAAAUGAUGUCAUACUCCCCACCCCACUGUUUUCAUGUAGGACUUCUUUUGUUUGUUUGUUUGUUUAGGGCUGCACUUGCAGCAUAUGGAAGUUCCCAGGCUAGGGGUCAAAUCAGAACUACAGCUACCACCUAUACCACACCCACAGCAACAUGGGAUGUGGACCGUGUCUGCGACCUACACCAUAGCUCACAGCAACGCUGGAUCCUUAACACACUGAGUGAGGAAUAUAGCAUAUCUCACUUUUUUUAUAUUGAUUGCACACUGAAAUAAUAAUAUGCUGAGCAUACUGGGUUAAAUAAAGUGUCUUAUUAAAAUUAAUUUCACCCAUUACUUUUUACGUCUUAAAUGGGGCUAUUAGGAAAAUUUAAGUUACAUAUAUGGCUAUUUGUGGCUCCUAUUAUAUAGUCAGUUCUAGCUAUAUUGUUAUAUAUAGUAUAUAUAUAUGCACACAAUAUAUAGUAUAUAUUAUCUAUAUAUAAUUGUUAUUUUGUAUAUGGAUUAUACAAAAUAAGUUAUACUUAUUUUGAAAAUGUGAAUUUGCUCCCAUGAAGCAGAUACAUUGAGAGGUAAUUAAACAUAACACUAAUAACAUGUCUACUCGUGUCUGUAAGAAACACUAGGUGAAUCCUGAAAACGGCACCCAGCUGAACUGAGUUGUGCGGAAAACACACAAAAUGCUCACACAUGCACAGACCUCAAACAUCCACCAGAUACUUCAGUUCACCACACGGAUUAUGCGCCACGUGAACCCACAUCUGGUGCUACAACUUUCCGUCCAAUUUUAAAUAACCCUCCUUUCACCACUUUCCAUAACUCACAUGCAGCCACCAUGGCUCGUGGAUGCCACUUCCUCAAGCAAAUGCCAGGUCUUUUCCAAGCUAAAAUGCAAUAUACAGUAUAGUAUUUACACAUAUACUUGCAGUUAACAUAUGCAAAAGUGGGCUGUUUUUACUAGGCUCCUUUUUUUUUUUUUUUAAUGUUUCUCUGACAAAGUUUUUAGUGUUAUGUCCCUCACCCCACUUACUCCAUAGGUCCUACAGUUUUUAUUGCGAGAUUUUGCAUCUCACUGUAUUUUUCAGUAAUGCCUACGGCUGUGUUUCUAUUGGACGGUGCUGUGCUACAGAGCCUUGGUUCCCAAAGCA
rnacentral:lncRNA from 1 species